rnacentral:rRNA from 1 species
UACGGGGGGAGCAAGCGUUGUUCGGAUUUACUGGGCGUAAAGGGCGCGUAGGCGGCCACCGCAAGUCGACUGUGAAAUCUCCGGGCUUAACCCGGAAAGGUCAGCCGAUACUGCGGGCUAGAGUGCAGAAGGGCAACUGGAAUUCUCGGUGUAGCGGUGAAUGCGUAGAUAUCGAGAGGAACACCUGCGGCGAAGGCGGGUUGCUGGGCUGACACUGACGCUGAGGCGCGAAGCUAGGGGAGCGAACGG